CACGUAGGUGGCAAGCGUUGUCCGGAUUUACUGGGCGUAAAGAGCGCGCAGGCGGUCGGCCAAGUCGGAUGUGAAAGCCCCCGGCCCAACUGGGGAGGGUCAUUCGAUACUGGUCGACUCGAAGGCAGGAGAGGGAAGCGGAAUUCCCGGUGUAGUGGUGAAAUGCGUAGAUAUCGGGAGGAACACCAGUGGCGAAGGCGGCUUCCUGGCCUGUUCUUGACGCUGAGGCGCGAAAGCUAGGGGAGCGAACGGG
rnacentral:rRNA from 1 species